GACGAACGCUGGCGGCGUGCUUAACACAUGCAAGUCGAGCGGAAAGGCCACUUCGGUGGUACUCGAGCGGCGAACGGGUGAGUAACACGUGAGUAAUCUGCCCCUGGCUUUGGGAUAGCCACCGGAAACGGUGAUUAAUACCGGAUACGACCACUUCUCGCAUGGGGUGGGGGUGGAAAGUUGUUCGGCCGGGGAAGUGCUCGCGGCCUAUCAGCUUGAUGGUGAGGUAAUGGCUCACCAUGGCUUCGACGGGUAGCCGGCCUGAGAAGGGUGACCGGUCACACUGGGACUGAGACACGGCCCAGACUCCUACGGGAGGCAGCAGGGGGGAAUAUUGGACAAUGGGCGGAAGCCUGAUCCAGCAACGCCGCGUGAGGGAUGACGGCCUUCGGGUUGUAAACCUCUUUCGGUAGGGACGAAGCGUGAGUGACGGUACCUACUAAAGAAGCACCGGCCAACUACGUGCCAGCCGCCGCGGUAAGAC
rnacentral:rRNA from 1 species